GCAAUCAGUACAGAUCUCUGAGCAGAGGUUUUAUAGGCUGAUCCGGUCUCACUCCUGUCAGCAAUCUAGCUGCAGCAUUCUGCGCUCAUUGAUGUUUCCAGGUUAAAUACAAGAGAAGCCCUACAUAGAGUGUGUUGCAGUGAUCCAGUCUUAAAGUCACCAAAUAUCAAAAUGUUAUUGAAUCAUGUCUUCUCAUUAAAGGAAGCCACAGACUUGAACUUACAAUAUCUGAACAAGGUGGUUUAUAACAAAUGCUACUGGAGAUCGCGGAUUCAUAGGGUCGCCAUAAGUUGUAAUCGAGUUGAAGGCAUAUAACAACAACAAAACACUAAUCUGCAGCUUUCUGAACACAGCCAGUGCCAGAAGCCAUGCAAACUACCCACAACCCAUUGGUGAGAUCUGAUGCAACUUCUGGAAACCACUAACACACGAGGAAGAUCAUUUCACGAGAUGGGUUCCGUUAAUUCAACUAAUUUCUUAUUUAAGUAUUCUGUUUCCAGCUACUGUAAAAACCCAAACCUUUCAACUCUGCAUGCUUCUGAAUGACUAUUU